CCUGAGGUAGCCAAGUGGUCUAAGGCUGCGGUCUGUAAAACCGCCAUUCGUAGGUUCGAAUCCUACCCUCAGGACCA
rnacentral:tRNA from 1 species